CACACAUUAUUGAAAGUGUGCUUUCCUGAUUCGGACAGAGGGGAGUAUCUAUAAUUGAACAAGAAUCCCCGCUGUUUUCCCAGGGUCCCCUUUUACAAAAUUGGUUUUAGAUCAAAAACAUAUUUUGAUUGUCUUGUUCUUUAAAAAAUCCAAACAAAUCGAGGAGUGAUCUCCGUUUACACUGCGCUCCUGCUAGGUUCGAAUGAAUAUGGUUCGAUUCGAUGCGCAGAGAAGACAGCCGGCUAACACCCUGGUUUUACAUGCCUUUCCCCCAGCCCCACGUCCCUGGUUUAUACGCCCGCACAGCGCAAAGGGUGUUUUGCUAUAUUUCAGACUUGACCUCCCAAGGGGAGGAAACGGGACUGAAGACCAAAUGCUGGUGCUCAGCAAAUCCCAAACACCCGAGAUGAAACCUCUGGCCAUCCUCAAAUACCGAUUCUGCGGCUUGUUGUCAAAAGCCCGACGUCCCUGGCCGGAGCAGACGUGCGACCUGCUCGCCGGGUAUUUGAUUUUACAGAGAAAUCCGUAUGAUCCUCUUUUGCACCUGUUUGAAUACGUGUCGCUUGCACGGAUAAGUGGAGGGAUUCCUUGCUGCUCUACUUGCUUGGGCUGGGGAAGGGUCACUUGUGAACGCCUGGCCUGGCGAGUGGAGCCACAUAACCUUGUGUUCUAUCCCCACAGCACCACCGCUCCUCCAGCUCGCUCUGUAGCCCUGUACAAUGAUUUCAGAGGACGCAGACAAUACGGAUCAAAGCUGCACUAGAGCCAGUUUCUCUGAAGACACGUGGAAAAGAGGAGAAAUCGCCGGCAUUGUGUUUAGUUUCACGCAUUGUUUGCCUGUGGAGAACAAGGGAGCGAAUUCCCCCGAGAAGGCAAAGCACCGAACCUGAAGGUAUAAAUAAAGCGGGGCCAAUGGAUGAAGACAGAACAGGGCAACCUUCUUUCGCCCUAUAUUGAUGCUCGGCUACCGCAAUUAACAUUGCUGCAUACGGAGUGAGUCCCCUCCGUGUACAUGCCUUCGCCCCCAUGCUAAUGAGGGCUGCAGCGGAGUGAGCUGUAUAAUUAUUAGCCAUUAAUUGAGUUCAGGACCUUUUAUGGCUGUGGGAAAUGAGCAGUCUGACCACUCAUUCCAAUAAGGGUCUGCACACAGCCAAGAGCGAUGAAAAGUCAUCCCGGGCUGGCUGGGCCCAGCCCGACACAAUCCCCCAGAGGGGGAGAAAGACAUUAACGGGGAGGGGGGGAUCGGUAGGUGAAAAUGACAGACACUUUAACCGGAUGGAUUUAUUUCAGAACUUUGACGCGGAGUCGCCACGCGAGUGCCCAGGAAGCCGAGAGAGGCAGCUGACUGGAACAGCUUGUCUUGAGGCAAGGAAAGAAACACAAUAAAGUUAAAUAAAAUAAAGUGCACAUUAAGGGAAAGGCUAUGCAGGCGCACAGACUCACUCUGAGCUGGGGGGGGGGGUUGUUUUCCAGUUACUGGGCUGAGGAAUGUAGAUCUGACUAGGAGAGAGCCCAUAUUUCUGGGGACACCCCCCCUUCUAUUCAUUUGAAGAUACAGAUAACCCCAGGGCUGGCCCAGUCACUGGGGAAAGUGAAAGGCAAAGGGAUAAUGUUCAGGUUGGAAUCUCACUUUGCAAAAAUUGCAUCUAUGAUUACCCCGACCCCCGCGCUCCGGGAAACCUGUUCCACAUUUAAACUAACUUGCAAGUUUCAGAUUUGCGCCAGGAUCUGCAAAAAAUAAAAUUCCCCCUCCUCCCCCGAAGUCACUCAAAAUCAGUCCACGCGCCCAUUGCAAGAAUCAAUCCGAAUUAUAUUGUUACAUAAACUGCGGCUGCCUUCGCUCCGGGAAGUGCAGUUGCCUUCUGGAGCGGGGAACGGAGCCUGGCUCCCAGAGCGCGGUUGCAUUAGCCUGUAGGGCACAGAGCAGCCCCCAGAACAGUGGCAUUAUUGGGGAGACCCUGCGAGGGGAAGCGGUGGAGUGGGAAGCAAGAAACGGAUGAAAGUCCGUUUCAGCUCCAGUGACAGCAGGGCGGGCUAAAGGAAGCCGAGCUGCAGCGAGCUCCAUGUCCCAGUCUAGCACAGGGUGUCGCAAAGAACAGCCCCCCCAAACCAGCAACCCUCCCCCCAGGAAAGCAGCUGGCGGGGUGAUUCCAGCUCCGGAGGGCGCAAGAGGUUCUGCCUUUUGGUUUCCUACCUAAAGAAACCGACACUGGCUCUGAAAAGGUGACAGAUGCU